rnacentral:rRNA from 1 species
AGAAAGCACCUGCUAACUACGUGCCAGAAGCCUCGGUAAUACGUAGGGUGCAAGCGUUAUCCGGAUUUAUUGGGCGUAAAGCGUCUGUAGGUGGAUAUGUAGGUGGCUCGUUAAAGCCCACGGCUCAACUGUGGAACAGCGAGUCAAACCGUAUGUCUAGAGUAUGUUAGGGGAGGUUGGAAUUCUCGGUGGAGGGGUGAAAUCCAUUGAUAUCGAGAGGAACGUCAAGGGCGAAGGCAAACCUCUGGGACAUUACUGACACUAAGAGACGAAAGCUAGGGUAGCAAAAGGGAUUAGAGACCCCUGUAGUCCUAGCCGUAAACGAUGAAUACUAGCUGGGCGACUUUUGUUGUCUGGCGCAAGCUAACGCGUUAAGUAUUCCGCUCUGGGUAGUACGGCCGCAAGGCUAAAACUCAAAGGAAUU